rnacentral:tRNA from 1 species
GCCGAAGUGGCGGAAUUGGCAGACGCGCGGACUCAAAAUCCGCCGGGCUAAUACUCGUACGGGUUCGAGUCCGUCUUCGGCACCA